rnacentral:rRNA from 1 species
AUUGAACGCUGGCGGCAGCUUUAAUACAUGCAAGUCGAGCGAGAAAGUUUCUUCGGAAACGAGUAAAGCGGCGAACGGGUGAGUAACGCGUAGGAAUCUACCAUUCAGCGGGGGAUAGCUCGGGGAAACUCGAAUUAAUACCGCAUACACCCUACGGGGGAAAGAAGGCCUCUCCUUGGAAGCUUUCACUGUUUGAUGAGCCUGCGUGAGAUUAGUUUGUUGGUGAGGUAAUGGCUCACCAAGACUACGAUCUCUAGCUGGUCUGAGAGGACGAUCAGCCACACUGGGACUGAGACACGGCCCAGACUCCUACGGGAGGCAGCAGUAGAGAAUAUUGGACAAUGGGGGCAACCCUGAUCCAGGCAUGCCGCGUGUGUGAAGAAGGCCUUAGGGUUGUAAAGCACUUUAGGUAAGGAAGAAAAGUUAAUAGUUAAUACCUGUUAACCGUGACAUUACUUACAGAAUAAGGACCGGCUAACUCCGUGCCAGCCGCCGCCGUAACAC